UAGGGAAUCUUCGGCGAUGGACGAAAGUCUGACCGAGCAACGCCGCGUGAGUGAAGGAGGUUUUCGGAUCGUAAAACUCUGUUGGUAGAGAAGAACGUUGGUGAGAGUGGAAAGCUCAUCAAGUGACGGUAACUACCCAGAAAGGGACGGCUAACUACGUGCCAG
rnacentral:rRNA from 1 species